rnacentral:rRNA from 1 species
GACGAACGCUGGCGGCAGGCUUAACACAUGCAAGUCGAGGGGCAGCGCGGGGUAGCAAUACUCUGGCGGCGACCGGCGGAAGGGUGCGUAACACGUGAGCAACCUGCCCAUAUCUGGGACAUAACCGGUGGAAACGCCGACUAAUUUCCCAUAACAAUUUAGAACGCAUGUUUUGAAUUUGAAAGAUUCGUCGGAUAUGGAUGGGGAUGCGUUCCAUUAGGUAGUAGGCGGGGUAACGGCCCACCUAGCCAACGAUGGAUAGGGGUUCUGAGAGGAAGGUCCCCCACAUUGGAACUGAGACACGGUCCAAACUCCUACGGGAGGCAGCAGUGAGGAAUAUUGGUCAAUGGACGGAAGUCUGAACCAGCCAAGUAGCGUGAAGGAUGACUGCCCUAUGGGUUGUAAACUUCUUUUGUCGUGGAACAAAACCUGCCACGUGCGGCAUUUUGCGUGUACACGUUGAAUAAGCAUCGGCUAACUCCGUG